AAAAAGUAGGGAAGCAUGUGAGCCAUGUGCCAAGAAAAGCCGCUAUAGAUCAUAUCGUACCCGUACCGUAAACCGACACAGGUAGAUGAGGAGAGAAUCCUAAGGCCGACGGGAGAAGCAUUGUUAAGGAACUCGGCAAAAUGACCCCGUAACUUCGGGAGAAGGGGUGCCCACGCGAGUGGGCCGCAGAGAAUAGGCUCAAGCAACUGUUUAGCAAAAACACAGGUCUAUGCGAAACCGAAAGGUGAGGUAUAUGGGCUGACGCCUGCCCGGUGCUGGAAGGUUAAGAGGAGGAGUCAGGCAACGAAGCUCCGAAUUUAAGCCCCAGUAAACGGCGGCCGUAACUAUAACGGUCCUAAGGUAGCGAAAUUCCUUGUCGGGUAAGUUCCGACCCGCACGAAAGGCGUAAUGAUUUGAGCACUGUCUCGACAAUGCACCCGGUGAAAUUGAAGUACCAGUGAAGAUGCUGGUUACCUGCGCCAGGACGGAAAGACCCCAUGGAGCUUUACUCCAGUUUGAUACUGGGAUUCGAUACUGAAUGUACAGGAUAGGUGGGAGGCUGAGAAGCGUGGACGCCAGUCUGCGGUGAGCCGCUGUUGGGAUACCACCCUUUGAGUAUUGGAUUUCUAACCUGCGCCCGUGACCCGGGCGGGGGACAAUGUCUGACGGGGAGUUUGACUGGGGCGGUCGCCUCCGAAAGGGUAUCGGAGGCGCUCAAAGGUUCCCUCAGAAUGGUUGGAAACCAUUCGCAGAGUGCAAAGGCAGAGGGGAGCUUGACUGUGACACCGACGGGUGGAGCAGGUACGAAAGUAGGACUUAGUGAUCCGGUGGUAUGAAAGUGGGAUUGCCAUCGCUCAACGGAUAAAAGCUACCCUGGGAUAACAGGCUUAUCACUCCCAAGAGUUCACAUCGACGGAGUGGUUUGGCACCUCGAUGUCGGCUCAUCGCAUCCUGGGGCUGUAGCAGGUCCCAAGGGUUGGGCUGUUCGCCCAUUAAAGCGGUACGCGAGCUGGGUUCAGAACGUCGUGAGACAGUUCGGUCCCUAUCCGGCGCAGGCGUAGGAUAUUUGAGAGGAGCUGUCCUUAGUACGAGAGGACCGGGAUGGACAGACCGCUGGUGUAUCUGUUGGUGACCAACACCAUGGCAGAGUAGCCAAGUCUGGCAGGGAUAAACGCUGAAGGCAUCUAAGCGUGAAGCCCCCCUCAAGAUGAGAUAUCCCAAUAAGUAAGACCCCUUAGAGAGUAUGAGGUAGAUAGGCUUAAGGUGUAAGCAUAGUAAUAUGUUCAGCUGAUAAGUACUAAUAGGUCGAGGGCUUAUCCAU
rnacentral:rRNA from 1 species